rnacentral:lncRNA from 10 species
CAUGUUCUGAUUGGAUGAGAGCAAGUCUUAACACAACCAAUCACAGCAUGAAAAUAAAGUCCAAUCAGAGUAGGCCUAGAGGUUUUUCUCUCAUCCAAUCAGAAUAUGUAGUCCAGGAACGGCAUUUGCAUAACCUCGGUAUAUAAAGCAUGGUGAGGUCGCAUCAGGUCAUUUCAGGCUCUGCUGUGUCAAGUCGGGGAGCGGCUCUUUGCUCAGCUUAGAGAACUGGAAGAGGCCGCAACCUUCUGCCUGCUGGAGGCUGGAGGAUGGAUGGAGCCUGGAGCCUGGGACACUACCUUGCUGUGGUUGGUGGUGGCGACAGAGCAGUAAGAGGGUGGCCGGCAGCAGGAGCUUGUCCUGCUGGGCUGGAGGACUAGGAGAAGGAAGAGGCACCACCACAUGCUGGAGGCUGAAGCCUGGAGUCUGUGCCACCAUGGCUCGCCUCGCUGUGGUUGGUGGUGACGCUGGAGACUGCAGCUGGGCCACAGUGGUAGAAAUGUGAUGGGGUUUUUGGGGAACAGGUGGCGUUUGAUUGUAAGAGUAAGUUCCUUAGAGGUUGGAAACACUCUCUUUACGGAAUCUGCAAAUGGACAUUUCAGAGCCUAUUGAGGCCUACACUGAAAAACCAAAUAUCCUGCAAUAAAAACUACAAAUAAGCUACCUGUGAAAAUGUUUUGUGAGGUUUGGAUUCAUCUCACAGAUUUAACCCUUUGUUUUGAUUCAGCAGGUAGGAAACUCUUUUUCUAAGAUCUACUCUGAGACAUUUCUGAGCCCAAUGAGGCCUAUAGUGAAAAACUGAAUAUCCCACUUUAAAAACCAGAAACAAGCUAUUUGAAAAUAUGCUUUGCAAUAUGUGGAUUUCUCUCACAGAGUUAUACCUGUGUUUUGAUUCUGUAGGUUGAAAAAAUUCUUGUUAUAGAAUCUAUGAGGGGAUAUUUCAAAGUGCACUGAGGCCUAUAGUGAAAAACAGAAUAUGCCAUGAUGAAAACUAGAAAGAAGCUAUUUGUGAAAAUGCUUUGUGAUGUGUGGAUUUAUCUCACAGAGUUAAGCCUUUGUUUUUAUUUUGCAGGUUGGAAAUACUCUUGUUGUAGAAUCUAUGAAGGGACAUUUCAGAGCUCAUUGAGGCCUAUAGAGAAAAAUCAAAUAUCCUGCGAUAAAAACUGUAAAGAAGCUACCUCUGAAAAUACUUUGUGAUGUGUGAUUUUAUCUCAGAAGUUGAACUUUUCAUUUGAUUCUGCAGGUUGGAAACUCUUUUUUUGUAGAAUCUACAAGGAGACAUUUCAUAGCCCAUUGAGGCCUAUAGUGAAAAAUCGAAUAUCCCUUGAUAAAGACUAGAAACAACCUAUCUGUAAAAAUGCUUUGUGAUGUGUAGAUUCAUUUUACAAAUUUAAACCUUUGUUUUGCUUCAUCAGGUUGGAAACUCUUUGAAUCUACAAAGGGACAAUUCAGGGCCCAUUGAGGCCUUUAGUGAAAAACCAAUUACCCUCAGUAAAAACUAGAUAUAAGCUAUGGGUGAAAAUGCUUUGUGAUGUGUGGAUUCAUCUCACAAGUUAAACCUUUGUUUUGAUUCAGCAGGUUGGAAACACUCUUUUAAUAGAGUUUAUGAGGGAAAAUUUCAGAGCCCAUUGAAGCCUCUUAAUAAAAACUGAUAAGAAAUAGAAACAAGCUAUCUGUGAAAAUGCUUUGUGAUGUGUGGGUUCAUCUCACAGAGUUAAACCUUUGUUUUGAUUCAGCAGGUUGUAAAGAUUCUUUUUGUAAAAUCUAUGAAGGAACACUGAAGGCCUACAGAGAAACAUCGAAUAUUCUGCAAUAAAAACUAGAAACAAGCUAUUUGUGAAAAAGCUUUGCUAUAAAUGGAUCUUUUUCACAGAGUUAAAUAUUUGUUAUUAUACACAGGUUGGAAACACAUAUUUAGUAGAAUCUAAGAGGAGUCUUUUUUGAGUCCAUUAAGGCCUGUGGUGAAAAACUCAAUAUCCCACAAUUAAAACUAGAAACAGGCUAUCUGUAAAUAUGCUUUGCAAUAUAUGUUUGCAUCUCACAGAGUUAAAUUUUGGGUUUUAUUCAGCAGGCUGGAGACACUUAUUUUUUACAGUCUACUUCGUGACAGUCUACUUCGUGAGGCCUAAAGUGAAAAACCGAGUAUCUUGUGAUAAAACUACAAUCAAUCUGUGAAAAUGCUUUGCAAUGUGUGGAUUCAUCUCAAUGAGUUAAAUGUUUGUUUUGAUUCAGCAGGUUAGAAAUACUCUCUUCGUAGAAUCUAUGAAGGAACAUUUCGGAGCCCUUUGAGGCUUAUAGUGAAAAGCUGAAUAUCCUGUGAUAAAAACUAGAAACAAACUGUCUGUGAAAAUGCUUUGUGAUGUGUGGAUUCAUCUCACAGAGUUAAACCUUUGCUUUUAUAGAGCAGUUUGGAAACAAUUUUUUAGUACAAUCUAAGGGGACAUUAUUGAGCCCAUUCAUUCCUAUAGUGAAAAACAAAAUAUCCUGUCAUAAAAACUAAAACAAACUAUCUGUAAAAAUGUUUUGCAAUGUGUGGAUUCAUCUCAAAGAGUUAAACCUCUGUUUUGAUUCAGCAGGUUGGAAACACUCUUUUUGUAGAAUCUGCAAAGCAACAUUUCAGACCCCAUUCAGGCCUAUAGUGAAAAAUCAAAUAUCCCGCAAUAAAAACUAGAAGCAAGCUAUCCAUGAAAAUGCUUUGUGAUGUGUGGAUUUAUCUCACUGAGUUAAACGUUUGUUUUGAUUCAGCAGCAAAUGUCCUGCAAUAAAAACUACAAAGAAGCUAUGACUAAAAAUGCUUUGUGAUGUGUGACUUUAUCUCACAGAGUUUAACCUUUCUUGUCAUUCAGCAGGUUGGAAACACUCUUUUUCUACAAUCUACAAAGGUACAUUUUGGAGCAAAUUGAGGGUUAUACUGAAAAAUCGAUUAUCUCACAAUACAAACUAGGAAAAAGUUAUCCGUGAAAAUGCUUCGCAAUGUGUGAAUCCAUCUCACAAAUUUAAACCUUUGUGUUCAUUCAGCAGGUUAGGAAUACUUUUUUUGUAGAAUAUACAAAGGGACAUUUGACACCUUUGGAAGCCUAUAGUAAAAAAGCAAUUAUUUCUCAAUAAAAAAUUUGUCUCUGAAAAUGCUUUGUGAUAUGUGGAUUCUUUUCACAGAGUAAAACGUAUGUUUUUAUCCCACAGGUUGGAAACACUGUUGUUGUUGAAUAUGCGAAGGGACAUUUCAGAGCUAAUUGAGGCCUAUAGUGAAAAACCGAAUAUCCCAUGAUAAAAACUAUAAAGAAGCUAUCUCUGAAAAUAUUUUGUGAUGUGUGAUUUUCAUCUCACAAGUUGAACUUUUGUUUUUAUUCAGCAGGUUGGAAUCACUAUUUUUCUUAGAAUCUAUGAAAAGACAUUUUGGAGCAAAAUGAGGACUAUAAUGAAAAAUUGAAUAUCCCACAAUAAAAAUUAGAAACAAGCUGUCUGUGAAAAUGCUUGGCAAUGUGUGGAUUCAUCUCACACAUCUCACAGAGUUAAACCUUUGUUUUGAUUCAGCAGGCCAAAAUUACUCUUUUGGUAAAAUCUACGAAGGAACAUUUUGGAGCCCAUUGAUGCCUGAGGUAAAAAACUGAAAACUGAAUAUCUUGUGAUAAAAACUAGAAACAAGCUUUCUGUGAAAAUGCUUUACAAUGCAUCAUUUUAUGUCACAGAGUUAAAUCUUUGUUUUGAUUCAGCUGGUUAAAAACACUCUUGUAGAAACUAUGAGAGGACAUUUCAGAACAUGUUGAAGUCUAUAGUGAAUAACAAAAUAUCCCGCAAUAAAAACUAGAAGCAAGCUAUCUAUGAAAAUGCUUUGUGAUGUGUGCAUUUAUCUUGCAGAUCUAAACAUUGUUUUGAUUCAUCAGGUGAGAAACACCCUUUUGAUGCAAUGUACAAACGGACGUUUCAGAGCCCACUGAGCCCCAUAGUCAUAAAACCAAAUAUCCUGCUAUAAAACUGGAAACGAGCUAUCUGUGAAAAUGUUUUGUGAUGUGUGGAUUCAUCUCAUAUAGUUAACCCUUUAUUUUGAUUCAGCAGGAUGAAAACACUCUUUGUGUAAAACCUACAAAAGGGAGGUUGGAAACACUCUUAUUGUGAAAUUUACGAAGGGACAUUUUGGAGCCCACUGAAGCCUAUGUGAAAAACCAAAUAUCUCACCAUUAAAACUAGCUAAACAAACUACCCAUGAAAAUGCUUGGCCAUAUGUGGAAUAAUUUUACAGAGUUAAAUCUUUGUUUUUAUUCAGCAAGUUGGAAAUGCUCUCUUGUACAAUCUACGAGGGGACAUUUUGGAGCCCAUUGAGGCCUAUAGUAAAAAAUCAAGUGUCCCGUAAUAAAAACUACAAAGAAUCUAUGUCUGAAAAUGUUCUGUAAUGUAUGAUUUUAUCUCACAGAGUUAAACUGUUGUUUUGUUUCAGCAGGUUGGAAACUCUCUUUUGGUAGAAUCUUCAAAGAGACAUUUGAGAGCCCAUUGAGGCUUGGAGUGAAAAACCAAAUAUCCAGCAAUAAAAACUAGAAACAAGCAAUCUGCAAAAAUGCUUUGUGAUGUGUUCAUUUAUUUUGCAGAGUUAAAACUUCAUUUUGAUUCAACAGGUUAAAAACACUCUUGUAGAAUAUAGGAAGUGACAUUUCUAAGCCCAUUGAGGCCUAUACUGAAAAACUGAAUAUCUCACAACAAAAACUAGAAAAAAAUCUAUCUGUGAAAAUACUUUGCAAUGUGAGGAUUUAUCUCACAGAGGUAAGCCUUUGUAUUAAUACAGCAGGCUGGAAACACUCUUUUUGUAAAAUCUACAAAGGGACAUUUCAUAGACCAUUGAGGCCUACAGUGAAAGAUCAAAUAUUUUGUGAUUAAAACUAGAAAAAAGCUAUCUGUUAAAAUGCUUUGCAAUGUUUGGAUUCAUUUUACAGAGUUAAGCCUUUGUUUGGAUUCAGCAGGUUGAAAACACUCUUUUUGUAGAAUCAACAUAGGGACAUUUCAGAGCACAUUGAGGCCUACGGUGAAAAACCCAACAUCCCAUGAUAAAAACUAGAUUCAAGCUAUCUGUAAACAUGCUAUGCAAUGUCUGGAUUAGCCCAAAAAAGUUAAACCUUUAAUUUGAUUCAGCAAGUAGGAAACACUGUUCUUGUAGAAUCUAAGAAGGGACACUUCAGAGCCCAUUUAGGCCUAGAGUGAAAACCCACUUAUCCUGCGAUAAAAACUAGAAACAAGCUAUCUGUGAAAAUCUUUUCUGAUGUGGGCAUUCAUCUCAAAGAGUUAAACCUUUCUUUUGAUUCAGCAGGUUGGAAACACUCUUUUAGUAGAAUCUACAGAGGGACAGUUUGGAACCUAUUUAGACCCAUAGUCAAAAAAGCAAAUAUCCCACAAUAAAAACUAGUAACAAGCUAUCUGUGAAAAUGCUUUGCAAUGUGGGGAUUCAUCUCACAGAGUCAAACCUUUGUUUGGAUUCAGCAGGAUGAAAACACACUUUUUGUAAAUCUACAAAGAGGACUUUGGAAAAACUCUUUUUAUGAAUCUACAAAGGGACAUUUUGGAGCCCAUUCAGGUCUACAGUAGAAAACCAAAUAUUCCAGGAUAAAAACUAAAAACAAGCUAUCUGUGAAAAUGCUUCUUGAUGUGUGCAUUCACCAAAUAUAGGUAAACUUUUUUUUUGAUUCAGCAGGUUGGAAACCCUCUUUUUAUAGAAUCUACAAAGGGGCAUUUCGAAGCCCAUUGAGGCCUAUAGUGAAAAAUUGAACAUUCAACAAUAAAAACUAGUAACAAGCUAUAUUUGAAAUUGCUUUGUGAUGUGUGGGUUCAUCUCACUGUUACAUCAUCAUUUUGAUUUAGCAGGUUGGAAAUGCUCUUUUGUAGAAUCUAUGAAGGAACAUUUGGAAUCGCAUUAAAGCCUAUAGAGAAAAACUGAAUAUUCUGCAAUAAAAACUAGGAACGAGGUAUCUGUGAAAAUGCUCUUCGAUGUGUGCAUUCAUCUCACAGAGAUAAACAUUUCUUUUGAGUCAUCAGAUUGGAAACUCUUU